AAGAGAUUAGUUAAAGAGAUAAUAUAAGUUUGUCAAACUUAAGUUACCCGAUGUGGUAUCUCUUC
rnacentral:tRNA from 1 species